AUGUGCACGCGUGAUAGCCAUCUUUGGCGGGCGAGGUGCCCAAUGAUAUGCUUCUUCGCAGUCGAGUGGCACUUUGUAGACCGUGUGGCAAGACAAUUUGGAAGAAGACAAGGUAUUCCAAUUAAGGAGAGCAAGGAGGAAAUUCUAUCUCUGCAUCGGUUUGAUCGAAGGAACAAUCAGGAUAUAUCGGAUUGGGCAAACAAACACCGUGCGUGGAUAGAAAUUUGGAAUCAAAGAGACACGUUAGUGCAAUCAGAGAAUAGACCUCACAAUCAGUCAGCAUAUCAGAACUACCAAGUGUGGUAUGCGGAUCGUUGCCGGUUAAAGCUGAAGCCUGGUUGGACUCAUGAGGAGUGGUCGGAGUUGGUGUCUGAAGAGCCGGAGACUGCACAAGAUUAUCAAACCUUCAACAUGGCUGUGAGAGACACCAGAGGGGCUCACGUUGACUAUGCACCGAUGCAUGAUGAAAUGGUAGUCUGUUUGACCUAUUCUAACAUACUUGCAUCAUGUUGUCUUCUUUCAAAUACAUAA
rnacentral:rRNA from 1 species